rnacentral:rRNA from 1 species
UGGGGAAUAUUGCACAAUGGGGGAAACCCUGAUGCAGCGACGCCGCGUGAACGAAGAAGGUAUUCGUAUCGUAAAGUUCUGUCCUAUGGGAAGAUAAUGACAGUACCAUAGAAGAAAGCUCCGGCUAAAUACGUGCCAGCAGCCGCGGUAAUACGUAUGGAGCGAGCGUUGUCCGGAAUUAUUGGGCGUAAAGGGUACGCAGGCGGUUUAAUAAGUCGAAUGUUAAAGAUCGGGGCUCAACCCCGCAAAGCAUUGGAAACUGAUAAACUUGAGGAGUGGAGAGGAAAGUGGAAUUCCUAGUGUAGUGGUGAAAUACGUAGAUAUUAGGAGGAAUACCAGUAGCGAAGGCGACUUUCUGGACACAAACUGACGCUGAGGUACGAAAGCGUGGGGAGCAAACAGGA